AGCACCUCCCUUGCCUGCCUAGGGAGUGGAUUUGAAGCAGGGAUGCAGUUGCCUGGUUUUCAUUAAUUGGGUCUACGAGGGUUUCUAUUUUCUCCCAGAAUACCGAUUGAUCUAGGCUAGAGUGGCCUGCAUCACCUGAAUCCUCAUUGGAAGAAGGCCCUGGCCUUGGCAGAGGUGGCUCCUGUCCCGGCAAGCCAAGGAAAAUGGACUACAUCAAGAUGCUCAAUCAAGACGGCAGACGUGGGAGGGGAGACGGUUUCUGGGCUUCACCAAGCUGUGGCAGCC
rnacentral:lncRNA from 1 species